AUGCAUAGGAAUCUGCCCGAUAGUGGGGGAUAACCUGGGGAAACCCAGGCUAAUACCGCAUACGUCCUACGGGAGAAAGGGGGCUCCGGCUCCCGCUAUGGGAUGAGCCUAUGUCGGAUUAGCUAGUUGGUGAGGUAACGGCUCACCAAGGCCACGAUCCGUAGCUGGUCUGAGAGGAUGAUCAGCCACAUCGGGACUGAGACACGGCCCGAACUCCUACGGGAGGCAGCAGUGGGGAAUAUUGGACAAUGGGGGCAACCCUGAUCCAGCCAUGCCGCGUGUGUGAAGAAGGCCCUCGGGUUGUAAAGCACUUUCAGCGAGGAAGAACGCCUAGCGGUUAAUACCCGCUAGGAAAGACAUCACUCGCAGAAGAAGCACCGGCUAACUCCGUGCCAGCAGCCGCGGUAAUACGGAGGGUGCAAGCGUUAAUCGGAAUUACUGGGCGUAAAGCGCGCGUAGGUGGCUUGAUAAGCCGGUUGUGAAAGCCCCGGGCUCAACCUGGGAACGGCAUCCGGAACUGUCGAGCUAGAGUGCAGGAGAGGAAGGUAGAAUUCCCGGUGUAGCGGUGAAAUGCGUAGAGAUCGGGAGGAAUACCAGUGGCGAAGGCGGCCUUCUGGACUG
rnacentral:rRNA from 1 species